GAUGAACGCUGGCGGCGUGCCUAAUACAUGCAAGUCGAGCGAACAGACGAGGAGCUUGCUCCUCUGACGUUAGCGGCGGACGGGUGAGUAACACGUGGAUAACCUACCUAUAAGACUGGGAUAACUUCGGGAAACCGGAGCUAAUACCGGAUAACAUGUUGAACCGCAUGGUUCAACAGUGAAAGACGGUCUUGCUGUCACCUAUAGAUGGAUCCGCGCCGCAUUAGCUAGUUGGUAAGGUAACGGCUUACCAAGGCAACGAUGCGUAGCCGACCUGAGAGGGUGAUCGGCCACACUGGAACUGAGACACGGUCCAGACUCCUACGGGAGGCAGCAGUAGGGAAUCUUCCGCAAUGGGCGAAAGCCUGACGGAGCAACGCCGCGUGAGUGAUGAAGGUCUUCGGAUCGUAAAACUCUGUUAUUAGGGAAGAACAAAUGUGUAAGUAACUAUGCACGUCUUGACGGUACCUAAUCAGAAAGCCACGGCUAACUACGUG
rnacentral:rRNA from 1 species